rnacentral:rRNA from 1 species
UACGUAUGGUGCAAGCGUUAUCCGGAUUUACUGGGCGUAAAGGGAGCGCAGGCGGCGCGCCAAGUCUGAUGUGAAACCCCGGGGCUCAACCCCGGGCAUGCAUUGGAAACUGGCGGGCUGGAGUGCCGGAGAGGUAAGCGGAAUUCCUAGUGUAGCGGUGAAAUGCGUAGAUAUUAGGAGGAACACCAGUGGCGAAGGCGGCCUGCUGGACGGUGACUGACGCUGAGGCUCGAAAGCGUGGGGAGCAAACAGG